CCUACGGGGGGCUGCAGUGGUGAAUAUUGGACAAUGGGCGAAAGCCUGAUCCAGCCAUGCCGCGUGUGUGAAGAAGGCCUUCGGGUUGUAAAGCACUUUCAGUGGGGAAGAAAGCCUUGGGGCUAAUACCCUCGAGGAAGGACAUCACCCACAGAAGAAGCACCGGCUAACUCCGUGCCAGCAGCCGCGGUAAUACGGAGGGUGCGAGCGUUAAUCGGAAUUACUGGGCGUAAAGCGCGCGUAGGCGGUCUGAUAAGCCGGUUGUGAAAGCCCCGGGCUCAACCUGGGAACGGCAUCCGGAACUGUCAGGCUAGAGUGCAGGAGAGGAAGGUAGAAUUCCCGGUGUAGCGGUGAAAUGCGUAGAGAUCGGGAGGAAUACCAGUGGCGAAGGCGGCCUUCUGGACUGACACUGACGCUGAGGUGCGAAAGCGUGGGUAGCAAACAGGAUUAGAUACCCUAGUAGUC
rnacentral:rRNA from 1 species